GACGAACGCUGGCGGCGUGCCUAAUACAUGCAAGUAGAACGCUAAAGGAGGAGCUUGCUUCUCUGGAUGAGUUGCGAACGGGUGAGUAACGCGUAGGUAACCUGCCUGGUAGCGGGGGAUAACUAUUGGAAACGAUAGCUAAUACCGCAUAACAGUAGAUGUUGCAUGACAUUUGCUUAAAAGGUGCAAUUGCAUCACUACCAGAUGGACCUGCGUUGUAUUAGCUAGUUGGUGGGGUAACGGCUCACCAAGGCGACGAUACAUAGCCGACCUGAGAGGGUGAUCGGCCACACUGGGACUGAGACACGGCCCAGACUCCUACGGGAGGCAGCAGUAGGGAAUCUUCGGCAAUGGACGGAAGUCUGACCGAGCAACGCCGCGUGAGUGAAGAAGGUUUUCGGAUCGUAAAGCUCUGUUGUAAGAGAAGAACGGGUGUGAGAGUGGAAAGUUCACACUGUGACGGUAUCUUACCAGAAAGGGACGGCUAACUACGUGCCAGCAGCCGCGGUAAUACGUAGGUCCCGAGCGUUGUCCGGAUUUAUUGGGCGUAAAGCGAGCGCAGGCGGUUAGAUAAGUCUGAAGUUAAAGGCUGUGGCUUAACCAUAGUACGCUUUGGAAACUGUUUAACUUGAGUGCAAGAGGGGAGAGUGGAAUUCCAUGUGUAGCGGUGAAAUGCGUAGAUAUAUGGAGGAACACCGGUGGCGAAAGCGGCUCUCUGGCUUUGUAACUGACGCUGAGGCUCGAAAGCGUGGGGAGCAAACAGG
rnacentral:rRNA from 1 species